rnacentral:tRNA from 1 species
GCUCGCGUAGCUCAACGGCAGAGCGCCGGUCCUUUGUACGACCGGAAGCUGGACGGUUCGAAUCCUCCCGCGAGCU